GCCGAAGUGGCGGAACUGGUAGACGCGCACGACUCAAAAUCGUGUGUCUUCGGGCAUGAGGGUUCGAGUCCCUCCUUCGGCACUA
rnacentral:tRNA from 1 species